rnacentral:rRNA from 1 species
AAGUCGAGCGAACGGACGAGAAGCUUGCUUCUCUGAUGUUAGCGGCGGACGGGUGAGUAACACGUGGAUAACCUACCUAUAAGACUGGGAUAACUUCGGGAAACCGGAGCUAAUACCGGAUAAUAUUUUGAACCGCAUGGUUCAAAAGUGAAAGACGGUCUUGCUGUCACUUAUAGAUGGAUCCGCGCUGCAUUAGCUAGUUGGUAAGGUAACGGCUUACCAAGGCAACGAUGCAUAGCCGACCUGAGAGGGUGAUCGGCCACACUGGAACUGAGACACGGUCCAGACUCCUACGGGAGGCAGCAGUAGGGAAUCUUCCGCAAUGGGCGAAAGCCUGACGGAGCAACGCCGCGUGAGUGAUGAAGGUCUUCGGAUCGUAAAACUCUGUUAUUAGGGAAGAACAUAUGUGUAAGUAACUGUGCACAUCUUGACGGUACCUAAUCAGAAAGCCACGGCUAACUACGUGCCAGCAGCCGCGGUAAUACGUAGGUGGCAAGCGUUAUCCGGAAUUAUUGGGCGUAAAGCGCGCGUAGGCGGUUUUUUAAGUCUGAUGUGAAAGCCCACGGCUCAACCGUGGAGGGUCAUUGGAAACUGGAAAACUUGAGUGCAGAAGAGGAAAGUGGAAUUCCAUGUGUAGCGGUGAAAUGCGCAGAGAUAUGGAGGAACACCAGUGGCGAAGGCGACUUUCUGGUCUGUAAC